CAAUAUCCGGUCAGCUCCCUGCAGAAGUUAAAUGUGAAAAGAGCUAAAGAGGCGUUGCCUGGCAAGUUACAAGCAGGAGAGGACAGACGCAGAGACUGCCGGCAAAAAUCGUCUUUGUUGAGCUUCCUGGGAUUGUUGCCUCACUCAGAUGGCUCAGAGGCCACGAAAAUCUCAAAGGACCAGCUGGACCCUCACAAGCUCAAUGUGCUCAUAGAUGCUGUGUGAUAAAGCAGUUUCCAAACACCAUAGUGUCUGCAGUCACAGAAAAUGCAACGAGUCCUAGGAUAAGGAUUGUGACAUUUUUCAGUUUCAGUUUGGUUCCACCAUUUGUACUGUAUGCUUGUGACGGAGUAUCUUCACUACAGUUGAGUAAGCGCUUGGACUGCCAUACCAACUAGCCUGGCUCUUUGGCGUUGCUGUCAAAGUUGCAUGUUUGGUAUGCUGUAGACCUGUGUUUGAAUCUGGGUAGGGUGACUGCUCUCGCAUUUGGCUGCAUAUGGUGUCAGAAGUAGGAUGGCUUGCCGUGAGGUCAUCUGAGCCGUGCCCAGAGUCCGAACCGUAUGAGGGACCUCCAUGGGUAACAUUAAUGAUGGGAUGUGUAUAGUGUACUUUUCAGUAAUACUGAUCAUAUGUCAUCAUUUUACUGAUUUUAUUGUUAUUUGAAGGUAUUUUGGUCAAGAUGUGAUACAUGCU